GUUUAGUUGCUUUACAAGGUUGUGUUGAUUUCAGAUGUGCAACAACAACAAAAAUCUCUGAACUUUUUCAAGCAAAUAAGUGGGGAAAGUGUUUAUGAUCUAAACAUUCAAUUUAUAUGCACUUUUCAAAGAAUAAAAAGCAGUUGCAUAGAGGGAGACAAACCUGGAAUUAUACCUUCUUUUAUUUUAUUAUUUUUUUUAUUUUUAUGGCCGCACCCGUGGCAUAUGGAGGUUCUCAGGCUAGGGGUCUAAUCAGAGCUACAGCUGCCAGCCUACACCACAGCCACAGCAACAUCAGAUCCGAUUCUCAUCUGCAACCUACACCACAGCUCACGGCCACGCCAGAUCCUUAACCCACUAAGCGAGGCUAGGGAUUGAACAUACAACCUCAUGGUUCUUAGUCGGAUUCAUUUCUGUUGCGCCAGGACAGGAACUCCCUGGAAUUAUAAAAUUGAUACGAAAUAUUUUCUCCACAACUCCGACUACAAGAAGACACUGGAAUAUUUACAGAGCACAAUUUCAAGGAAAGGGAUUAUGACACUACCAUUUUAGACCCAGCCAAACUCUACUUCCCAUAAGAAUAAAAGAGUUGGAGUUCCCUUCGUGGCACAGCAGAAACAAAUCUGACUAGGAACCAUGAGGUUGCGGGUUCAAUCCCUGGCCUCACUCACUGGGUUAAGGAUCCUGCUGUGAGCUGUGGUGUAGUGUGAAAAAUUAAUAAUUUGAAAAUUAAAUUCCAAAUUAUUUCAAUAAAAUCUGAGGAGUGAGGUAACGAAAACAAAUAAAACAUGCUAAAUUUCCUGUACAGCAGUGGGAAUCUCACAGACAUAUUUUAUCUGAGAAAACAUAAUAAAUAUAAAAUAAGGUAGGCACAAUAAUCCCAAAUAUAAGCAAUAGUCCAGAUAUACCUAAAUCCAGAAAGAAAAAAUAUAUAACUUGUGGCAUUUGUUCUCAUUUUUCGUUAUCUUCCCAAUCUGUAGAAAGCUAAGAAAAUUAAGGAGUCCUGACAUUCAGUAUUUUAAAGCAUAAGUCUCUUUAUGGAGAUAAAACAUUCAAAGAAGAGAAAAUGAUAUGAGCUGUUCCCAACUCCCCACUAACCAUCCUUGGCCUCUCUUAAAUGAGCUUAUGAUACAGAAUUGGUAGAUUUAAUGGAAUUGUAGUCUUCUCCAUCCCAUUAUGAAGGUUCUGUCUGUUGCGGAGUUCAUUCCCCAGGGAGGCCUCCUGGAGCAGAAUUUCAUCUGCUGUCCUUGGAACCAUCGUAAGACCCUCAAUACAACAGUUGACCAGUUGCUCAGUUCUGAGUUGUUUGUUUUUCAGGGCCGCACCAGCAGCGCAUGGAAGUUCUCAGGCUAGGGGUCGAAUCAGAGCUACAGCCCCUGGCCUACACCACAGCCAUAGCAACGCCAGAUCCGAGCCCCAUCUGCAACCUACACCACAGCUCAUGGCAAUGCUGGAUCCUUAACUCACUGUCAAGACCAGGGAUCGAACCCGCAUCCUCAUGAAUCCUAGUCGGGUUCGUUAACUGCUGAGCCACAAAGGGAACCCCUGUUCUGAGAUUUCUUUUAAAAAAGGUUAGUCUCUGGUCAGUACAGAUGCAAAUCAUGAGUAGUCAUGAGACCAAAAUGAGAUGGUCAUUAAAAUAAAUCUUCCAACACUGUCUACCUCUCAAGUCCCAUAUUUGCUCCCAGGGAUUUGGUCCCUUCUCAGCCAUGUUUACCAGACACAUGCUUGGCCCUCUGCAUGUUUUCCCAGCAUCAAACCUUUAGACAUGUUUACUGGCCCCAAACAUUCCAAGACAUGAGUCUAUUUGUGUGUACCUGAGCAACCAACCAAACAGGUAGUUAAUGUUUUAUAAGACUGCCCAGUCACUGUUGACAUAUAAAACAUCUAGUUUAAGCCAGGAUUCAGUUACAGCAGGAAAUUAGAGGGCUCGUCAGUGAAAUGAUUGAGAAUAUAGGUUUACAUAGGUCUAUGGACCUUGAAGUUGGAAUUCUAAACAACGCAUUGGAGAGGUUUGGGAGGGAACACGGUGACAGUUGGAUUAGGGGAGAAGCAUAGAUACUAAAAGAAUAAGAGUAGCGACAGUAACUAAAUCAGCUUCCACCUUGGGCAUGACCUAGAAUAAUGAAAGGCAUCGUGGCUUUAGCUGGAAUAACAAGAUUUCUUUUAAUUAAUAUGACUUUGGGGGCUAGAUGAGAAUUCAAUAGCCUGGUUUCUGGGGACUCAGGUAGAUGUUUGGUGGUAGUUCCCAUCACAGAGCUAAUUAAGUGGAAUAGUCCCUUAGCAAGAGAUAUUUUGAGCAGAUUCCAGCAAGGCUUGGAUUAAACCCAUGGCUCUAAACAGCAGCUAUACAUCUGAAUCACCUGGGCAGCCUUUGCUAAAACACAUACUGGAGUCUCCCACACACCUACCCGCCGUUACCCAGAGAUAACUCUUCUGAAUGUGUAGUACUGAGUUGGAUUCUUGGCAUCCACAUUUCUACAAAGUGAAAAAUUUGAUUUGUAUGCACACCCACAGCUGAGACUCUAAAUUAAACACUGGUAUGAAUGGCUAUCAUUUAUCAUCGCACGCACCCCAAGAGGGUCUUGAGUAUAACAUUAAUUCUCAUAGUAACCCUCUGUGGUGGAGAGGAUUUCUCCCAUUUUACAGAUAAAAUGGCUCAACGUGGUUAAAUAAAACAUCCAAAGUCACAUAGGUGACAUGUGAAGGCGAAGAGCUGCGUCCACAUCUGUCAGAUUCCUUCUCCUCUACCCGCUGCGCCGCAAGAGCAGCUCCCAUCUCUGAAAACCUACAGUAGACACCCCUUCCUACCCUCUUCUGCCUUGCUCACACUCUCUCUCCUCCAGGAAUACUCUUUCUCCCUCAUACUGAGCAAAAUCCUUCCCAAUGACCAAUCUGCCCCAUGGUUAAUAAAGGGAUUCCUUCCUCCUCUGAACUUUCAUGGCCUUUAUUCCUUUGUUCAUUUAUUCAUAUAUUUACUGAGCACCUAGUAUAAGCCAGACACUAUAUUAGACACCACAGCAGUGAACAAACGGGUAAGAUCACUGCCCUUACAGAACUUAGGAGAGAAUAGUCCCCCCCAAAAAAAAAAAAAAUCAAUAAGGUAAUUGCAGGAGUUCUCAUUGUGGCUCAGCGGGUUAAGAACCCAACUAGUAUCCAUAAGGAUGCAGGUUAGAUCCCUGGCUUCACUCAGUGGGGUAAGGAUCUGGCAUUGCCACAAGCGGUGGUGUAGAUCACAGAUUUGGCUCAGAUCUGGGUUGCUGUGGCUAUGGCAUAGGCCGGCAGGUGCAGCUCCAAUUCAACCACUACCCUGGGAAAUUCCAUAUGCCAUAGGUGCAGCCCUAAAAAAGGAAGGACAAGAAAAAGAAAGAAGGUAAUUGUAGAUUGUGGUAAAUAUAGGAAGAUAAUGUGACAGAAUGAGAAAGACUUUUUAAUUAGAGUUCUCAGGAAUGGUUUGAUCUCUCUGAGGAGGCAACAUCUGAGUUAGGACCUGAAGGUCAGUCAUGUUAGGACCCAGAGGAAGAACCUUUCAAUCCAAUGAAAUAGCCAAAGCAAAGCCCCUGGGGUGACAAAGCUCUUUUUUGUGUUCCCGAAAGGGAAAUGUAACCUGUUGGCUGGAGCAUAGCUAGCAAGAGGGAGAGUGGCAUGAGAUGAAGGUGGAGAGAAGAGCAGAGCCUGAUCAAGAGGGCCUUGUAAGCAGUAGGAAAGGGCUUGGAUAUCAUUUAAAAGCAGGUGAAUACCACUGGAAGGUUUUAAGCAAGGAAAUGAAAUUACCUGACUUUGCUUUUCAAAAGACCAUUUAGACUGUUGAGUGGAGAAUGGAUGAGAGAAUAGGAGUGAAAGGAGAGGUCGGUUAGGGUCUAGAGCAGGAGCCAACACAGGGAGGUGAGGUCUUGGAUGCACUUGAGAGGUGACGGUGGAGAUGAAAAGAAAAGGAUGGAUUUGAGACGUAUCCUGGAAGCAGAACAAGGCUCUUGUUGAUAUAGACUAGAUGUGAGAGUGAGAGAAGAGGCAGACUCAAGAACAAUUAUCUGUUGUAUUCAUUUCAUCUUUGUUUCCUGCUUGAAGAUUUAGCGGUUUUUUUAAUGAAUAUGUCUCCCCAAAUUUAUGGACAGUUCCUUUAUCAGCUAAAGGAUAGAAUCUUAUAAUCUCUGCAUCCCCACAAUGCCUGCUUAAAAUAGUAUGUUUUAUAUAGUAAAUAAUAAAUAAAUAGUUGUUCAUUGGUAGCUUGCUACUAUUUCAUCAUCAUUCAAGAUGUAAUAAAUAUUACUUUGAUAUGAUACCAGGAAGGAAACACACAUCGAUAAAUUGUUAAGUACAAAUAACAAGACAGGGACACAGUACAUCUGUAUUUUUUACCCAAGUAGAUGAAAGCUGAGAAAAAGACCCACAAAACUACUAUCAGUCUUACACCAGUGAAUUCUGGGAAAGCUGUUUAAAUCAUAAUAACUUUAAUCAUGAUAGCAUUCAUCAAAAUUCUACUAACACAAGGUAGUCAAUUAUAUAUAUAUUAUUUAUAUACAUACAAUUCUAUCUAUAUACUAUUAUAUAUACUAUCUCAUUUAUUUCUCACAGAAAACUGUGCAAGGUGGAUGGUUUUUUUCUCAUGUAUUUUAUAGACAUAAAAAUGGAGGUCCCAAGAGUCUGUCACUUUCAAAAGUUACACCACCAUUAAAAGAUUCAGAUCAUUCAAACCAGUGUUCAGACCAUGGUUUGCGUGACCCCAAAAUCCAGGUCCAUUAAAUCUGGGCAGGAUCACACUGAACGGGUCCACUCUAGGCUCUGGCUGGGACUGACCUUAUCAGUUAGCUAAAACCUCAGAAGAAAAGAUUGCAUGAAAAAGUAUUUAGAUCAGUCUGGAGGAGUUCUAUGACAACUCCCUCCGCCCACAUGUCUCCAAGAACUUUACCAGAACAAGAGAGCUCCUGGAAAUGGACUUCCCCUCUGACAGUGUGAUGCCUCAAAGCCCUCUCGGUACUGAUGUCUAACCCCAUGAUACAGGGGUCUGGUCCAGAUCUUGCCUGAAACAUAAUCCCAUCACAGUUUUCCCAUCAUGUUUAAGAGAGUUGGCAGCCACUGCCACUUCUACUCAGAACAAAUGGUAUCCAAAAAAGCAGGUGGCCCCUAUUAAGAUAUAUUUAAAAAUCAAUCCAACAGAGGGUGCAUUAGGUUCUAAAAAUACCGCUAACACAAGGAAAUAAGCCAUUUAAAAAUAGUUACUAUCUAAAGGAAAGCAAAAAAAAAAAAAUAAGCAGCACAAAUUUUGUAUUGCAUGUGCAUAGGGGUGUUCAUUACAGCACACUUUUCUCUGGCUAAUUAUAUUAUGAACAACGUUUGGAUCUGCAUCAGGAAUACAGUCAACUAAUUAUGAAUGUGACUGGGAAUUUUUCCUUCCUAUCCUAUUAUCUGUGAUUUUUAUUCAAAUAAUCAACUUCAAAAUAGGUCUCCCUGGGGGGAAAUGCGGCAUGCCAGUUUCAAGGGCCAUCCUGAUGUUGUAACUCCGUUUCAUAUCUUGAAGGUAAAAAUGUUUUAUUAUCGCAAAGGCAAAAGGCACUGCUAGCUUUAAUAUUCUA
rnacentral:lncRNA from 1 species